UACGUAGGGUGCAAGCGUUGUCCGGAAUUAUUGGGCGUAAAGAGCGUGUAGGCGGCCCGACCAGUCCGCUGUGAAAGUCCAGGCCUCAACCCUGGAAUGCCGGUGGAUACUGUCGGGCUAGAGUCCGGAAGGGGCGAGUGGAAUUCCUGGUGUAGCGGUGAAAUGCGCAGAUAUCAGGAGGAACACCAAUGGCGAAGGCAGCUCGCUGGGACGUGACUGACGCUGAGACGCGAAAGCGUGGGGAGCAAACAGG
rnacentral:rRNA from 1 species